AAACAACGCCCACACAUGAGUUACAACUAGGGGUGGCAAUCCAAUUCGCUGUUCGUGAGCUAGCUCAUGUUAGGCUUGAAAUAAGCUCGAGAUCAAAUCGCUCGUUUAGUAAAUGAGCCAAACACGAGCUAAGGCCCCCUAGGGUUGAGUGGGUGGUUGGUUGAAUAGUAUGAUCUAAUGGGUGAAAAUGAUGAAAAUGGUUAUGGAAUGAUUGCAAUAAUUUAAAAGUUCGAAUCAGAAAUUAUAAUUAAAUAAAAUCUGAGAACUAAAAUGUCACGCAUCUCAUAGUUUGCGAACCCAAGGUGUAAUUUACCAUUACUUCCAACAUUUGACAUUGUCACAACUGCCGUGUGCCGAGAGAAAACAACGCCCACACAUGAGUUACAACUAGGGGUGGCAAUCCAAUUCGUUGUUCGUGAGCUAGCUCGUGUUCGGCUCGAAAUGAGCUCGAGAUCGAAUCGCUCGUUUAGUAAAUGAGCCAAACACGAUCUGGGCCCCCUAGGGUUGAGUGGGUGGUUGGUUGAAUAGUAUAAUCUAACGGGUGAAAAUGAUGAAAAUGGUAGAUCUAAUGGCGAAAAACUUGGUAGCACCAAGUGCUUCGUGCUAUUAAUAGCAUAGUAGCUGGACUCUAUUAGAACUAGGCUAAUAUACUAUUAAUAGCACCAAGUCACUGGUGCUACCAAGUUUUUGGCCAUUGGAUUAAGAGAUGUGCUGUUAGGAUGAUCUGGGCCCGCUAGGGUUGAGUGGGUGGUUGGUUGAAUAGUAUGAUCUAACGGGUGAAAAUGAUGAAAAUGGUAGAUCUAAUGGCAGAAAACUUGGUAGCACCAAGUGCUUCGUGCUAUUAAUAGCAUAGUAGCUGGACUCUAUAGAACUAGGCUAAUAUACUAUUAAUAGCACCAAGUCAUUGGUGCUACCAAGUUUUUGGCUAUUGGAUUAAGAGAUGUGCGAUUAGGAUGAUCUGGGCCCCCUAGGGUUGAGUGGGUGGUUGGUUGAAUAGUAUGAUCUAAUGGAUGAAAAUAAUAAAAAUGGUAGAUCUAAUGGCGGAAAACUUGGUAGCACCAAGUGCUUCGUGCUAUUAAUAGUAUAGUAGCUGGACUCUAUAUAGAACUAGGCUAAUAUACUAUUAAUAGCAUCAAGUCAUUGGUGCUACCAAGUUUUUGGCUAUUGGAUUAAGAGAUGUGCGGUUAGGAU
rnacentral:lncRNA from 1 species